UGCAGAGGUCUCAAGCGUUGUUCGGAUUCAUUGGGCGUAAAGGGUGUGUAGGUGGCGCCGUAAGUCGGGUGUGAAAUUUCGGAGCUUAACUCCGAAACUGCAUUCGAUACUGCGGUGCUUGAGGACUGGAGAGGAGACUGGAAUUCAUGGUGUAGCAGUGAAAUGCGUAGAGAUCAUGAGGAAGACCAGUGGCGAAGGCGGGUCUCUGGACAGUUCCUGACGCUGAGGCACGAAGGCCAGGGGAGCAAACGGG
rnacentral:rRNA from 1 species